rnacentral:rRNA from 1 species
CCUACGGUGGGCAGCAGUGGGGAAUAUUGCACAAUGGGGGAAACCCUGAUGCAGCGACGCCGCGUGAGCGAUGAAGUAUUUCGGUAUGUAAAGCUCUAUCAGCAGGGAAGAAAAUGACGGUACCUGACUAAGAAGCCCCGGCUAACUUCGUGCCAGAAGCCGCGGUAAUACGUAGGGGGCCAGCGUUAUCCGGAUUUACUGGGUUGAAAGGGGGUGUAGACGGUCCUGCAAGCCAGGUGUGAAAGCCCGGGGCUCAACCCCGGAACUGCAUUUGGAACUGUAAGGCUGGAGUGUCGGAGAGGCAGGCGGAAUUCGUAGUGUAGCGGUGAAAUGCGUAGAUAUUAGGAGGAACGCCAGUGGCGAAGGCGGCCUGCUGGACGAUGACUGACGUUGAGGCUCGAAAGCGUGGGGAGCAAACAGGAUUAGAUACCCCUGUAGUC